UACGUAGGGGGCAAGCGUUGUCCGGAAUCACUGGGCGUAAAGCGCGCGCAGGCGGUCAUCUACGUCUGGGGUGAAAGCCCGGAGCUCAACUCCGGGAUUGCCUUGGAUACGGGAUGACUUGAGGAUCGGAGAGGCAAGGGGAAUUCCACGUGUAGCGGUGAAAUGCGUAGAGAUGUGGAGGAACACCUGUGGCGAAGGCGCCUUGCUGGCCGAUUUCUGACGCUGAGGCGCGAAAGCCAGGGGAGCAAACGGG
rnacentral:rRNA from 1 species